rnacentral:tmRNA from 1 species
GGGGAUGAUCGGUUUCGACAUCGCCUGCGAAACCGCGAGAAGCGGGCCGAGGAUGCAGGGUUAUCUCGUAAACGAUCUCUGCGAAACAAUAACUGCCAAUAAGAAGCAGAUCGACUUCGCUCUCGCUGCGUAAGCAGUAGAGCCACAAGUCCGUCAGUCCGGGUUCGUUCCCGCCCCGGUCACUGGCGUCAUUUAGGGGACUUGCUGCGCACCGGCGCCUGAACGGUGCGUGGGACUUCUUCAGGCUGGGCCCGUCGACUCAGAUGCCUGUCGCAAGAGUCGGGGCCGACGAGAACGCUUGACAGGAUGCGCCCGGAGAAGGCGUGGAAUCACAGCGAUGGACGGGGGUUCGAUUCCCCCCAUCUCCACCC